UCAGGGAUUUACUCUCCUUUAUAAUUUACCAUUGCAGCCAGAAGCUUCUAAAUGGUUUGAACGAGAAAAAAAGUUUAUGAAAAUGACCCAAUCUAACUGAAAUGUAUUUAACUGAGAUUGUUCAUUUUAUGGACAGUUGUUCCUUUUCAGGCACUUGAAUCAUCCUCAUGAAUUCCUUUUUCUUUUUUUUUCUCCUCCUUUCUUUCUGUCUUCAGUUCCCAGGCUAGGGGUCUAAUCGGAGCUGUAGCCUCUGGCCUACACCAGAGCCACAGCAAUGCCAAAUCCGAGCCGCGUCUGCAACCUACACCACAGCUCACCGCCACGCCAAUCCUUAACCCACUGAGUGAGGCCAGGGAUGGAACCUGCAUUAUCAUGGUUCCUAGUCGGAUUCACUUCCGCUGCACCACAACAGGAACUCCUAAAUUCUGUUUGACUUUUGUUUCUAACGCAGCACAUUUUAUAUCUGCAAAAUGUGGUGAGCACAGAGCCAUUGAUAAAAACAGAUUGCCUGAGUCUUUGACUUCUAAGUGUUUAUGCUGGAAGGAAUCACCUGUGCUGGUUUAGCUUUGCCCUUUCAUGUGGGAUACAGUUCUGGGAGAGUCUUAGUCCUGAACCCUUUGUGUGUGUACCUCUUGCCCCAUGGGCCGCUCACCUGUUUCAGGAAAUCACUUUGAGCAAAAUGAUACCUUCUCUGAGGGUCUGGCACUUUCUCAGCAGAACCAUGUGACACUGACAUGGAGAACAGGGCAGGGCAUACAGAUGUGUCCACCUGUCCUGGGAGCCUGACUUCUGUGAAAACUUUAAAACCAGAACUUUCUUUGAGAACUUUCAUAAAUAUCAAGCGAUUUAGUGGCAGCCAGAAGCAAAGACCAGGCUUUUAGCCCCUUUCCUUGUCUCUGGACCUUUGUGGUUGUCACCCACGAGUGGGAAGAACUGCAGUAUGGGUGUUGGGUGAGCUGGGGAUGUCACAGGGUCUUCUCAUUCUGAAUGAGGGAUGGGGAGGGACCUGAUUUCCCAGGCCCGCCUCUUCCUGCCUGAGUCCUGCAUGAGUUUCCUGCACCAGUGCUAUGUUUGGGCUUGGAGAGCGCAAAUGCAAAGGGGACUGUCUGAGCUGCCCAUGUUGAACCGCAGUGCCUGUUGACUCUUGUGCCUUUUACCUGGAAAAGUGAGGGCAGCCUCUACCAAGUUAAGGGGUGCCUUCAGAUCCGCAUUUAGAUUCUGUGGACGGGUGGUAGAUCCGCUCUUCUUUGUGGCUGAUGCUGCCCUGUUGGGAAGGGAGCAUUUGGUUCCAAGUGAUUUAGAGACUUUUCCACCAUGAGAUAAUCAUAUUUACUGAGAUGGUGCUUAGCACUGGUACUUGUCAUUUUAUCACUAAUGGCUGUGUUUCUCUUUCCACGGCUGUGGGUUUUAUCUGGCCGUCCCUCAGGUACCCUGAAAGCUUUGACUAGUGCUUAAAAAGGUAGGUUCAGGAAAUGCUGUUUCUGUAUUUCUUUUCUCCCUAUUUUCCCCCUUGUUGAACAACAUGAAACUGCCAGGUUUUAUGUUCCAGUGGGCAGCUGCUGCCAGUCUGAUGUUUUUCUCUCCCCUUCCUCCUCCCCCCCGCCCCACACCCAUGCCCCCUCCCCCAGAGACACCCCCCCCCAUUCUUGCUCUGCUCUGAGGGGAGCUGUACCUUUGUGGUUCUUCUGCAGCUGCCGGACUUUGAUGGGGACAUGCUUGCUG
rnacentral:lncRNA from 1 species